rnacentral:tRNA from 5 species
UGCGGGGUGGAGCAGUGGUAGCUCGUUGGGCUCAUAACCCAAAGGUCGUAGGUUCGAAUCCUGCCCCCGCUA